UACAAAUGAUGAUAAAUCAAAAUUGAUGUCCAUGAAAGAUAAUAUCAUGAGCUUUUUAACACUGAAUUUAU